UGCUUUUGGGAGAAAAGCCUUGCCGAGACGCAGUGAAGUCGGUAAUUUCUACCCCUUGUGAUUUUAGGUUCUCAGGUAAAAAACUAAACCAUGCCUCAUAUUAGUAUGCGC
rnacentral:rRNA from 1 species